rnacentral:rRNA from 1 species
GGGGAAUUUUCCGCAAUGGGCGAAAGCCUGACGGAGCAACGCCGCGUGAGGGAGGAAGGCUCUUGGGUUGUAAACCUCUUUUAUCAAGGAAGAUAAUGACGGUACUUGAUGAAUCAGCAUCGGCUAACUCCGUGCCAGCAGCCGCGGUAAUACGGAGGAUGCAAGCGUUAUCCGGAAUAAUUGGGCGUAAAGCGUUCGUAGGUGGUGAUGUAAGUCUGCUGUUAAAGCGUGUAGUUCAACUACAUAUAGGCAGUGGAAACUACAUGACUAGAGUGCGUUCGGGGCAGAGGGAAUUCCUGGUGUAGCGGUGAAAUGCGUAGAUAUCAGGAAGAACACCGGUGGCGAAGGCGCUCUGCUAGGCCGUAACUGACACUGAGGGACGAAAGCUAGGGGAGCGAAUGGGAUUAGAUACCCCAGUAGUCCUAGCUGUAAACGAUGGAUACUAGGCGUUGUCUGUAUCGACCCGGACAGUGCCGUAGCUAACGCGUUAAGUAUCCCGCCUGGGGAGUACGCACGCAAGUGUGAAACUCAAAGGAAUUGACGGGGGCCCGCACAAGCGGUGGAGUAUGUGGUUUAAUUCGAUGCAACGCGAAGAACCUUACCAAGGCUUGACAUGUCCGGAAUUUCUUGGAAACGAGAAAGUGCCUUCGGGAGCCGGAACACAGGUGGUGCAUGGCUGUCGUCAGCUCGUGUCGUGAGAUGUUGGGUUAAGUCCCGCAGCGAGCGCAACCCUCGUUUUUAGUUGCCAGCACUUCGGGUGGGCACUCUAGAGAGACUGCCGGUGACAAACCGGAGGAAGGUGGGGAUGACGUCAAGUCAUCAUGCCCCUUACGUCUUGGGCUACACACGUACUACAAUGCUAUGGACAAAGAGCAGCCAACCAGCGAUGGUGCGCUAAUCUCAUAAACCAUGGCUCAGUUCAGAUCGCAGGCUGCAACUCGCCUGCGUGAAGUAGGAAUCGCUAGUAAUUGCAGGUC